GACGAACGCUGGCGGCGUGCCUAAUACAUGCAAGUCGAACGAAGCUGUUUUAACUGGUGCUUGCACCGACUUAAACAACUGAGUGGCGAACGGGUGAGUAACACGUGGGUAACCUGCCCCAAAGCGGGGGAUAACAUUUGGAAACAGAUGCUAAUACCGCAUAACCACAGAAACCACAUGGUUUCUGUGUCAAAGAUGGUUUCGGCUAUCACUUUGGGAUGGACCCGCGGCGUAUUAGCUAGUUGGUAAGGUAAUGGCUUACCAAGGCAAUGGUACGUAGCCGACCUGAGAGGUUGAUCGGCCACAUUGGGACUGGGACACGGCCCAAACUCCUACGGGAGGCAGCAGUAGGGAAUCUUCCACAAUGGACGAAAGUCUGAUGGAGCAACGCCGCGUGAGUGAAGAAGGUUUUCGGAUCGUAAAACUCUGUUGUCAGAGAAGAACGUGUGCGAGAGUAACUGUUCGUGCAGUGACGGUAUCUGGCCAGAAAGCCACGGCUAACUACGUGCCAGCCGCCGCGGUAA
rnacentral:rRNA from 1 species